rnacentral:rRNA from 1 species
GAUGAACGCUGGCGGCGUGCCUAAUACAUGCAAGUCGAGCGAACAGACGAGGAGCUUGCUCCUCUGACGUUAGCGGCGGACGGGUGAGUAACACGUGGAUAACCUACCUAUAAGACUGGGAUAACUUCGGGAAACCGGAGCUAAUACCGGAUAAUAUAUUGAACCGCAUGGUUCAAUAGUGAAAGACGGUUUUGCUGUCACUUAUAGAUGGACCCGCGCCGCAUUAGCUAGUUGGUAAGGUAACGGCUUACCAAGGGGACGAUGCGUAGCCGACCUGAGAGGGUGAUCGGCCACACUGGAACUGAGACACGGUCCAGACUCCUACGGGAGGCAGCAGUAGGGAAUCUUCCGCAAUGGGCGAAAGCCUGACGGAGCAACGCCGCGUGAGUGAUGAAGGUCUUCGGAUCGUAAAACUCUGUUAUUAGGGAAGAACAAAUGUGUAAGUAACUAUGCACGUCUUGACGGUACCUAAUCAGAAAGCCACGGCUAACUACGUG